GCCUCAGAAGAAGUGGGCUGGCAAGGAGAGGCCUCUAAAAUACUGCUGGUCUGUCAUCAAAUAAAAACUUAGCUCCUGUAUGUGGGCUGAAAAAGUGGAUGAUCGGUAGGUGGCAGCCAAGAGAUGCGUGGGAUAUCGCGGAAAGUUCCUGGGAGACUUAUGAAAUGUAUACCAUGAGUUACGGAAGCGUGCCUAAUUAGUUCUGACAGAAUAACUUUCCCGUAGCAUGCCUAGGGUAUCCCCUCAAGAAAUAAUUGAUUUCAAGACCAGCAUCCCUGAGUGAGUGUCUGCAGAAGGUAUUUGUCU